AUCUUCCCUUAAUAAUAUAUCAGGUGCAUCGUCUAGCAACGUGUCAUGAUCCCUAAAAUAUUAGAAAAGUCAUUAGUGGUUCAACUUAACCUUUCAGUGAUUGGUUUCUAAGUGUAAUUAAUAUCAUGUAAUCAAUAAUGUUCUGAUUUAAUAUUAAAGUAUAUAGUAUGUUU